rnacentral:rRNA from 1 species
CAGUCGCCGCGGUAAUACGUAGGUGGCAAGCGUUGUCCGGAAUUAUUGGGCGUAAAGGGCUCGCAGGCGGUUUCUUAAGUCUGAUGUGAAAGCCCCCGGCUCAACCGGGGAGGGUCAUUGGAAACUGGGAAACUUGAGUGCAGAAGAGGAGAGUGGAAUUCCACGUGUGGCGGUGAAAUGCGUAGAGAUGUGGAGGAACACCAGUGGCGAAGGCGACUCUCUGGUCUGUAACUGACGCUGAGGAGCGAAAGCGUGGGGAGCGAACAGGAUUAGAGACCCGCGUAGUCCCUGUCUCUUAUAC